UCGAGCGAGUCUGCCUUGAAGAUCGGAGUGCUUGCACUCUGUGAAACAAGAUACAGGCUAGCGGCGGACGGGUGAGUAACACGUGGGUAACCUGCCCAAGAGAUCGGGAUAACACCUGGAAACAGAUGCUAAUACCGGAUAACAACAGAUGAUGCCUAUCAACUGUUUAAAAGAUGGUUCUGCUAUCACUCUUGGAUGGACCUGCGGUGCAUUAGCUAGUUGGUAGGGUAACGGCCUACCAAGGCGAUGAUGCAUAGCCGAGUUGAGAGACUGAUCGGCCACAUUGGGACUGAGACACGGCCCAAACUCCUACGGGAGGCAGCAGUAGGGAAUCUUCCACAAUGGACGCAAGUCUGAUGGAGCAACGCCGCGUGAGUGAAGAAGGGUUUCGGCUCGUAAAGCUCUGUUGUUGGUGAAGAAGGACAGGGGUAGUAACUGACCUUUGUUUGACGGUAAUCAAUUAGAAAGUCACGGCUAACUACGUGCCAGCAGCCGCGGUAAUACGUAGGUGGCAAGCGUUGUCCGGAUUUAUUGGGCGUAAAGCGAGUGCAGGCGGUUCGAUAAGUCUGAUGUGAAAGCCUUCGGCUCAACCGGAGAAUUGCAUCAGAAACUGUCGAGCUUGAGUACAGAAGAGGAGAGUGGAACUCCAUGUGUAGCGGUGAAAUGCGUAGAUAUAUGGAAGAACACCGGUGGCGAAGGCGGCUCUCUGGUCUGUUACUGACGCUGAGGCUCGAAAGCAUGGGUAGCGAACAGGAUUAGAUACCCUGGUAGUCCAUGCCGUAAACGAUGAGUGCUAAGUGUUGGGAGGUUUCCGCCUCUCAGUGCUGCAGCUAACGCAU
rnacentral:rRNA from 1 species